GAUGAACGCUGGCGGCGUGCCUAAUACAUGCAAGUCGAGCGAACAGACGAGGAGCUUGCUCCUCUGACGUUAGCGGCGGACGGGUGAGUAACACGUGGAUAACCUACCUAUAAGACUGGGAUAACUUCGGGAAACCGGAGCUAAUACCGGAUAAUAUAUUGAACCGCAUGGUUCAAUAGUGAAAGACGGUUUUGCUGUCACUUAUAGAUGGAUCCGCGCCGCAUUAGCUAGUUGGUAAGGUAACGGCUUACCAAGGCGGCGAUGCGUAGCCGACCUGAGAGGGUGAUCGGCCACACUGGAACUGAGACACGGUCCAGACUCCUACGGGAGGCAGCAGUAGGGAAUCUUCCGCAAUGGGCGAAAGCCUGACGGAGCAACGCCGCGUGAGUGAUGAAGGUCUUCGGAUCGUAAAACUCUGUUAUUAGGGAAGAACAAAUGUGUAAGUAACUAUGCACGUCUUGACGGUACCUAAUCAGAAAGCCACGGCUAACUACGUG
rnacentral:rRNA from 1 species